rnacentral:rRNA from 1 species
AUUGAACGCUGGCGGAAUGCUUUACACAUGCAAGUCGAACGGUAGAGGGGGCAACCCCUCGAGAGUGGCGAACGGGUGAGUAAUAUAUCGGAACGUGCCCAGUCGUGGGGGAUAACGUAGCGAAAGUUACGCUAAUACCGCAUACGAUCUAAGGAUGAAAGCGGGGGAUCGCAAGACCUCGCGCGAUUGGAGCGGCCGAUAUCAGAUUAGGUAGUUGGUGGGGUAAAGGCUCACCAAGCCAACGAUCUGUAGCUGGUCUGAGAGAACGAACAGCCAAACUGGAACUGAGACACGGUCCAGACUCCUACGGGAGGCAGCAGUGGGGAAUUUUGGACAAUGGACGAAAGUCUGAUCCAGCCAUUCCGCGUGCAGGAUGAAGGCCCUCGGGUUGUAAACUGCUUUUGUACGGAACGAAAAGGUCUCUCUUAAUACGGGGGGCUCAUGACGGUACCGUAAGAAUAAGCACCGGCUAACUACGUGCCAGCCGCCGCCGUAA